rnacentral:rRNA from 1 species
GACGAACGCUGGCGGCGUGCUUAACACAUGCAAGUCGAACGGAAAGGCCUGCUUUCCCUUGUGGAUUGCGGGUACUCGAGUGGCGAACGGGUGAGUAACACGUGAGUGAUCUGCCCCCAACUUGGGUAUAAGCCUGGGAAACUGGGUCUAAUUCCCGAUAGGACUGCAGGGUGGUGCCUGUGGUGGAAAACGAUUUUCUAGUGGUUGGGGAUGAGCUCGCGGCCUAUCAGCUUGUUGGUGGGGUAAUGGCCUACCAAGGCGGCGACGGGUAGCCGGCCUGAGAGGGUGGACGGCCACAUUGGAACUGAGAUACGGCCCAGACUCCUACGGGAGGCAGCAGCGGGGAAUAUUGCACAAUGGGCGGAAGCCUGAUGCAGCGACGCCGCGUGGGGGAUGACGGCCUUCGGGUUGUAAACUCCUUUCGACCGCGAGGAAGCCACAUGGUUGGAAGGGUGGUGACGGUAGUGGUAGAAGAAGCACCGGCUAACUACGUG